rnacentral:pre_miRNA from 1 species
UAAUAAUAAUGAUGAUGAUGAUGAUGAUGAUGAUGAUGAUGUAUGAGAAUCUGAACCAGAAUCGAAACCAGAAUCAGUACCAUCCCUUAGCUUCUUUCCAUCAUCAUCANCAUCAUCAUCACCGUCAUCAACAUCA